rnacentral:rRNA from 1 species
GGACCCGCACAAGCGGUGGAGCAUGUGGUUUAAUUCGAGGCAACGCGAAGAACCUUACCAGGACUUGACAUCCUUUCUAAACCUUCUGUAAUGGAAGGCUCGGUUCGGCCGGGGAAGAGACAGGUGCUGCAUGGCUGUCGUCAGCUCGUGUCGUGAGAUGUUGGGUUAAGUCCCGCAACGAGCGCAACCCUCAUCAUUAGUUACCAGCGAGUUAUGUCGGGGACUCUAAUGAAACUGCCUAUGACAAGUAGGAGGAAGGCGGGGAUGACGUCAAGUCAGCACGGCCCUUACGUCCUGGGCCACACACGUGCUACAAUGGUGGUGACAAUGGGCAGCAACGUCGCGAGGCGAAGCUAAUCUCAAAAAACCAUCUCAGUUCGGAUUGCACCCUGCAACUCGGGUGCAUGAAGCUGGAAUCGCUAGUAAUCGCAUAUCAGCAGGAUGCGGUGAAUACGUUCCCGGGUCUU